GAUGAACGCUAGCGGCAGGCCUAAUACAUGCAAGUCGAGCGGUAAGGCUCUUUCGGGAGUACACGAGCGGCGGACGGGUGCGUAACGCGUAUACAACUUGCCCUUUAACGGGGGAUAGCCUGGAGAAAUUCAGAUUAAUACCCCAUAUGAUGGUGGAACCGCAUGGUUCAGCCAUGAAAACUCCGGUGUUAAAGGAUGGGUAUGCGUGACAUUAGAUAGUUGGUGAGGUAACGGCUCACCAAGUCAACGAUGUCUAGCUGGUCUGAGAGGAUGAUCAGCCACACUGGGACUGAGACACGGCCCAGACUCCUACGGGAGGCAGCAGUAGGGAAUAUUGGACAAUGGAGGAAACUCUGAUCCAGCCAUGCCGCGUGAGGGAAGACGGUUCUCUGAAUUGUAAACCUCUUUUAGCAGGGAAUAAACCGGUGGUAUAGUCACCGUUGAAGGUACCUGCAGAAUAAGCACCGGCUAACUCCG
rnacentral:rRNA from 1 species